AAUAAGUAGAGCCACAUAUCUAAAGAAACGAUCAGAAAAAGAAAUUAUGCAAUGCGAACAAAAACUGGCAGUGCUUCACAAAGAUAACCAAAAGCAACCAUCAGCAGAGCACAAAACGCAAAUCAAUACACUCCAAAACAAACUCAAUGAGAUUAGACUCCACAAAUUCGGCCUCAUGCUGAAGCGCCUAAACACUCGCACAUACGUCCAAGGAAACAGAGCCAGUAAGCUUGUAGCACAACACUUAAGAGAGAGACAGC